rnacentral:tRNA from 1 species
GGUCUUAUAGUCAAUCAUGAUUUUGAAUUGCAAAUUCAACGGUGAAUAGAUAAAAUUCUAAGGCUU